GUUGGUGAUGGACAGGGAAGCCUUCCUUUUGACCCUUAAUAGACUUAUACAUGCAAGCAUCCGCACCCCAGUGAAAAUGCCCUCCAAGUUAAUAAGACUAAGAGGAGCUGGUAUCAAGCACACAUCCGUAGCUCACGACACCUUCCACAGCCACACCCCCACGGGAGACAGCAGUGAUGAAAAUUAAGCCAUAAACGAAAGUUUGACUAAGCCAUAUUAAUUAGGGUUGGUAAAUUUCGUGCCAGCCACCGCGGUCAUGCGAUUAACCCAAGUUAAUAGGCACAUGGCGUAAAGCGUGUUAAAGCACUAUACUAAAUAAAGUUAAAUUCCAAUUAAGCUGUAAAAAGCCAUAAUUGCAACAAAAAUAAACAACGAAAGUGACUUUACAACCGCUGAAACACGAUAGCUAGGACCCAAACUGGGAUUAGAUACCCCACUAUGCCUUAAACACAAAUAGUUAUGUAAACAAAACUAUUCACCAGAGUACUACCGGCAAUAGCUUAAAACUCAAAGGACUUGGCGGUGCUUUACACCCUUCUAGAGGAGCCUGUUCUAUAAUCGAUAAACCCCGAUAAACCUCACCAUUCCUUGCUAAUACAGUCUAUAUACCGCCAUCUUCAGCAAACCCUAAAAAGGUACAAAAGUAAGCACAAUCAUAAUACGUAAAAACGUUAGGUCAAGGUGUAACCUAUGGAACGGAAAGAAAUGGGCUACAUUUUCUAAUCUAAGAAAAUCCAACACGAAAGUUAUUAUGAAAUUAAUAACCAAAGGAGGAUUUAGCAGUAAACUAAGAAUAGAGUGCUUAGUUGAAUUAGGCCAUGAAGCACGCACACACCGCCCGUCACCCUCCUCAAGUAGGCACAAUACACUCAAAUUUAUUUACACGUAUUAAUCAUAUGAGAGGAGACAAGUCGUAACAAGGUAAGCAUACUGGAAAGUGUGCUUGGAUAAAUCAAGAUAUAGCUUAAAUAAAGCGCCUAGUUUACACCUAGAAGAUUUCACAUAUCACGAAUAUCUUGAACCAAUUCUAGCCCGCAAGCCCAUUCACACUAAAUUAUCAAUACACUGUAAAAUAAAACAUUUAUUCAACAACAAAAAGUAUAGGAGAUAGAAAUUUUAAUACGGCGCUAUAGAGAAAGUACCGUAAGGGAAUGAUGAAAGAAAAAAAUUAAAGUACAAAAAAGCAAAGAUUACCCCUUGUACCUUUUGCAUAAUGAGUUAACUAGUAAAAACUUAACAAAAUGAAUUUCAGCUAAGUACCCCGAAACCAGACGAGCUACUUAUGAACAAUUUAUCAAGAACCAACUCAUCUAUGUAGCAAAAUAGUGAGAAGAUUUGUAAGUAGAGGUGAAACGCCCAAUGAGCCUGGUGAUAGCUGGUUGUCCAGAAAAUGAAUAUUAGUUCAGCUUUAAAAAUACCAAAAAUAUGAACAAAUUAUAAUGUAUUUUUAAAAGUUAGUCUAAAAAGGUACAGCCUUUUAGAAAUGGAUACAACCUUAACUAGAGAGUAAGUCUUAACAUUAAACCAUAGUGGGCCUAAAAGCAGCCACCAAUUAAGAAAGCGUUAAAGCUCAACAAUAAAAUAAUAUCAAUUUCAAUAAUAAACAGUCAACUCCUAAUCUAAUACUGGACUAAUCUAUUAAAAAUAGAAGCAAUAAUGUUAAUAUGAGUAACAAGAAGUAACUUCUCCCCGCAUAAGUUUAAGUCAGUAUCUGAUAAUACUCUGACUAUUAACAGCAAAAUAAGAGUAACCUAACUAUAAAUAACUUAUUAAUUAUACUGUUAAUCCGACACAGGAAUGCGCUUAAGGAAAGAUUAAAAGAAGUAAAAGGAACUCGGCAAACACUAAACCCCGCCUGUUUACCAAAAACAUCACCUCCAGCAUAACUAGUAUUGGAGGCACUGCCUGCCCAGUGACGACCGUUAAACGGCCGCGGUAUCCUGACCGUGCAAAGGUAGCAUAAUCACUUGUUCUCUAAAUAGGGACUUGUAUGAAUGGCCACACGAGGGUUUUACUGUCUCUUACUUCCAAUCAGUGAAAUUGACCUUCCCGUGAAGAGGCGGGAAUAUAUUAAUAAGACGAGAAGACCCUAUGGAGCUUUAACUACUUAGCCCAAAGAAACAAAUUUCAUUACUAAGGAAACAACAACACUCUUUAUGGGCUAACAGCUUUGGUUGGGGUGACCUCGGAGAACAAGAAAUCCUCCGAGCGAUUUUAAAGACUAGACCUACAAGUCGAAUCACACAAUCGUUUAUUGAUCCAAAAAAUUGAUCAACGGAACAAGUUACCCUAGGGAUAACAGCGCAAUCCUAUUCAAGAGUCCAUAUCGACAAUAGGGUUUACGACCUCGAUGUUGGAUCAGGACAUCCCGAUGGUGCAACCGCUAUCAAAGGUUCGUUUGUUCAACGAUUAAAGUCCUACGUGGUCUGAGUUCAGACCGGAGUAAUCCAGGUCGGUUUCUAUCUAUUAUGUAUUUCUCCUAGUACGAAAGGACCAGAGAAAUAAGGCCAACUUCAAAUAAGCGCCUUAAAUUAGUUAAUGAUAUCAUCUUAAUUAACUUCACAAACAAACUUUGCCCUAGAAAAGGGCUUUGUUAAGGUGGCAGAGCCCGGUAAUUGCGUAAAACUUAAAACUUUAUAAUCAGAGAUUCAAAUCCUCUCCUUAACAAAAUGUUUAUAAUCAAUAUUUUAAUACUAAUCAUUCCCAUUCUUUUAGCCGUGGCAUUCCUCACACUAGUAGAACGGAAAGUCCUAGGGUACAUACAACUUCGAAAAGGUCCGAACGUUGUAGGUCCCUAUGGCCUACUCCAACCUAUUGCAGAUGCCAUCAAACUUUUUAUUAAAGAGCCACUACGACCCGCCACAUCUUCAAUUUCAAUAUUUAUCCUAGCCCCUAUUCUAGCCCUAAGUCUAGCCCUAACCAUAUGAAUCCCCCUACCCAUGCCAUAUCCCCUCAUUAACAUAAACCUAGGAGUCCUAUUUAUACUAGCAAUAUCAAGCCUAGCCGUAUAUUCUAUUCUCUGAUCGGGCUGAGCCUCCAAUUCUAAAUACGCACUAAUCGGGGCCCUGCGGGCAGUAGCACAAACAAUUUCAUAUGAAGUAACCCUAGCAAUUAUUCUACUAUCCGUUCUCCUAAUAAAUGGGUCCUUUACACUCUCCACUUUAAUCAUUACACAAGAACAAGUAUGACUUAUUUUCCCAGCAUGACCCCUAGCAAUAAUGUGAUUCAUCUCAACACUAGCAGAAACAAACCGAGCCCCAUUUGAUCUCACCGAAGGUGAAUCAGAACUAGUUUCCGGCUUUAACGUAGAAUAUGCAGCAGGACCAUUUGCCCUAUUUUUCAUAGCAGAAUACGCAAAUAUUAUUAUAAUAAAUAUUUUCACAACAAUCUUAUUCUUAGGAGCAUUGCACAACCCAAUCUUACCAGAACUUUACACAAUCAAUUUUACCAUUAAAUCCCUACUACUAACAAUCUCCUUCUUAUGAAUCCGAGCAUCUUAUCCUCGAUUCCGCUAUGACCAACUAAUACACCUACUAUGAAAAAAUUUUUUACCCUUAACAUUAGCCCUAUGUAUAUGACAUGUAUCACUACCCAUUUUUAUAUCAAGCAUCCCUCCACAAACAUAAGAAAUAUGUCUGACAAAAGAGUUACUUUGAUAGAGUAAAUAAUAGAGGUUUAAGCCCUCUUAUUUCUAGAAUUAUAGGAAUUGAACCUACUCCCAAGAAUCCAAAACUCUUUGUGCUCCCAAAUACACCAAAUUCUAAUAGUAAGGUCAGCUAAUUAAGCUAUCGGGCCCAUACCCCGAAAAUGUUGGUUUAUACCCUUCCCGUACUAAUAAAUCCAAUCAUCUUCAUUCUCAUUCUAUCAACAAUAAUAAUAGGCACCAUCAUUGUUAUGAUCAGCUCCCAUUGACUACUCGUCUGAAUCGGAUUUGAAAUAAACAUGCUCGCCAUCAUUCCCAUCAUAAUGAAAAAGCAUAAUCCACGAGCCACAGAGGCAGCAACCAAAUAUUUCUUAACCCAAUCAACAGCCUCAAUACUGCUAAUAAUAGCCGUUAUUAUUAACCUAAUAUUUUCAGGCCAAUGAACUGUAAUAAAACUAUUUAACCCAGUAGCAUCUAUACUCAUAACAAUGGCUCUCACUAUAAAACUAGGAAUAGCCCCAUUCCAUUUCUGAGUCCCAGAAGUAACACAAGGCAUCCCCCUGUCAUCAGGCCUAAUUUUACUCACAUGACAAAAAUUAGCACCCAUAUCCGUUCUCUACCAAAUUUUCCCAUCUAUUAAUUUAAAUAUAAUUUUAACCAUUUCCAUUCUAUCAAUCAUAAUUGGAGGCUGAGGAGGACUAAACCAAACCCAACUACGAAAAAUUAUGGCAUACUCAUCAAUUGCCCACAUAGGCUGAAUAACAGCGGUCUUACCAUAUAAUCCCACAAUAAUAUUACUAAAUUUAAUCAUUUAUAUUAUCAUAACUUCCACCAUAUUCACACUAUUUAUAGCUAACUCAACUACUACCACGCUAUCACUAUCACAUACCUGAAACAAAAUACCCGUAAUAACUAUUCUAGUCCUCAUUACCCUCCUAUCAAUAGGAGGACUUCCCCCACUAUCAGGAUUUAUACCAAAAUGAAUAAUCAUCCAAGAAUUGACAAAAAACGAUAGCCUCAUUCUACCCACCCUCAUAGCAAUUACAGCACUACUAAAUUUAUACUUUUACAUACGACUCACAUACUCCACUGCACUAACAAUAUUUCCCUCCACAAAUAAUAUAAAAAUAAAAUGACAAUUUUCUACCACAAAACAAAUAACCCUUUUACCCACAAUAGUUGUUCUAUCCACUAUACUACUACCACUCACACCAAUCCUAUCAAUUCUAGA